UACGAAGGGGGCUAGCGUUGCUCGGAAUCACUGGGCGUAAAGCGCACGUAGGCGGAUUGCUAAGUCAGGGGUGAAAUCCUGGAGCUCAACUCCAGAACUGCCCUUGAUACUGGCGGUCUCGAGUCCGGGAGAGGUGAGUGGAACUGCGAGUGUAGAGGUGAAAUUCGUAGAUAUUCGCAAGAACACCGGUGGCGAAGGCGGCAUCCUGGACCGGCAUUGACGCUGAGUGAGCGAAAGCCAGGGGAGCAAACGGG
rnacentral:rRNA from 1 species